UAUAUACAAGGGCAACAUUAUUUAAGUAUGACCAUAUGGGAUGGAAGGGUUAACUUAACUAGAACACUAUAGUUUGUUGUACUAUUCAUAAGACUAUGAGUGAUCUAAAGGCAAGAGAGAAAAAUAUUGAGAGUUGUAUGAAGUAUAAUUGGUAAAGAGUUAUCUACUCUUGAACUCAUGAAUGCUUGUUAUGCUAUCCAUAAGGUGUUUAUGAGGAAUAGGGAUCUCAACCCCACUA
rnacentral:lncRNA from 1 species